AUUUGCAUGCAACGCAGCAAAACAGAUUUGGGGAGGAAGAAGAGCCCCCAAACCCUUAACCUCCUUUGAUCCACCAUAACUCUUCCGUCCGGGCUCCGAUCGCCGCACCGUUUGCGGCCACGCGCUCAGCGCGUCGAGCUCUACCUUUCUAUCCGAACAAUUUUACUGGUUCAAGUUAGCUUCCGGAACUUGUGGGCUCAAGCUAUUGAGCAUAUGGGUAUGGUGUAGUUUAAGAGGGUGUUUAUGCAUUGGACUUGAAUUUGGAUUACUUGGAGCUUUGUUGGUGACAAGGCUUACUUUGGGGCUGUUUGAUUGAGCUUGGAGGGGCUGUGAUUUUGUGUUGAGAGGCUGCCUUGGGUGAAUUAAGUGAUCGGCCAAGAUGCAGGUCGAGAGGCUCCUUGCUAGACGUCUGGAUCUUGGGAAGCGAAGUAGUCCUUGGGUGUAUUUUGGUUUUUUUUUGGUUGUAUAUAUGUAUAUAUUUGUUUAGCUUACUCUCCAAGU